UACGUAGGGGGCAAGCGUUAUCCGGAUUUACUGGGUGUAAAGGGAGCGCAGGCGGCGCGGCAAGUCUGAUGUGAAAGCCCGGGGCUCAACCCCGGCCCGCCGUUGAAACUGGCAGUCUCGAGUUGGAGAGAAGUAUGCGGAAUGCGCGGUGUAGCGGUGAAAUGCUUAGAUAUCGCGCAGAACCCCGAUUGCGAAGGCAGCGUACCGGCUCCACACUGACGCUGAGGCACGAAAGCGUGGGUAUCGAACAGG
rnacentral:rRNA from 1 species